rnacentral:lncRNA from 1 species
CCAAGGGCCUCACCUCCAAACACCAUCCCACUGAGGGUUAGGGCUUCAGCAUAUGAAUGUGGGGGACAUAAACAUUCAGUCCAUAACAUGGGGGUAGGUUAUGAUUAUUAAAUAUCCACUGUGGGACUUCCCUGGCGGUCCAGUGGUCACGACUCCCUGCUUCCACUGCAGGGGGUGCGGGUUUGAUCCCCAGCUGGGGAACUAAGAUCCCACACACCGUAAGGCAUGGCCAAAAAAAAAAAAAUCCACUGUGUACAGGCGGGGGGCCAGGCGAGGGAUGGGUGGGGCCCCCGUGGCUCCAUAGCGCCUGGCAGGGGAGCUCAUCCAGAGCUGACACGCCCCACAGGCCUGCUGACCUAACAGCUCCCUCUGGCCCCCAGCCCCGGCCUCCCUCUGAACCACUCCUGUCAGUGGAAGCUUUUGAGGAACACACAGCUUUGCCCUGCAAAAGUUAAUGGCCACAAAGGGUGCCUGGGAUGCAGAGCAUGUCUGCGGAAAGACCCGGAAACCAGGGUGUCUGGGCCCGAGUGAGGAUAUGCGAGGGAAAAGCCAAGUAUUGGCCCAGCUCCCUGAUUCUGCAGCUCAGACUGGGCUCCCCCUGUCCUGGGGGAGUGGACAGGUGACCUGCACGCUGGGGCCAAGGUGUCAAACCAGAACAAAAAAAUGUUUCAUACUCCAAAGAAUUGAAAGCGGGGUCUCAAACAGAUAACUGUACACCUGUGCUCACAGCAGCAUGACUCCCAACAGUCAAAAGGUAGAAAGAACCCAAGUAUCCACGGACGGAUGAUGGACAAACAAACGUGGUCCAUCCACACAAUGGAAAAUGAUUCAGCCUCGAAAAGGAAGGAGAUUCUGACGAUUGCUAUACUGUGGAUGGACCCCAAGGACACGAUGCUCAGUGAGAGAAGCCAAACACAGAAGGACAAGUACUGUCUGAUUCCACUCACAGGAGGUCCCUAGAGGAGUCUCAUCCACAGAGACAGGAAGUAGAUGGUGGGGCCAG